AUGGCUGGUCGCCGAAAUUCCUCCUCUCGCACCCCUAGCUCUAAGCCAGGCGAUUGGGAAAAGUGUUAUGUUCCUCAUAGCCGAUUAGUGGAGUUGCAGACCCAGGGGUUCCUCCCUCCCGCAUACAUGGUCCCCGUCCGAGCCGGACUAGCCACCUAUAAUGGCGGGGAGCAGGCGGAGAUCUUUCCGAACCCAUCUAGAGGGGAGUGGAUAUGCCUUGUCCCGUAUUUGCUGAGGGGGCUCGGGUUUCCAAUCCACCCAUUCCUCCGCGGGCUCCUGGAGUUCUAUGGUCUCCAGCUGCACAACUUCACUCCUGCCUCCAUACUGCACAUUGCAGGGUAUGUCGCCUUCUGUGAGCUUUUCCUGGGUUGCGAAGCUCAUUUCGAGCUAUGGAAGAGGCUAUUCUGCCUCGUCCCUCGCAAUCAAAAGGGAUCUAUAUAUCAAGUGGGCGAAGCCGAAAUAUGGCGCAUCGCCCAGGCCGGAUACUUGUCCGGCACUCCAAAGAAGGCAUCCUAA
rnacentral:rRNA from 1 species